CUGCUGCCUUCCGUAGGAGUUUGGACCGUGUCUCAGUUCCAAUGUGGGGGACCUUCCUCUCAGAACCCCUACGCAUCGUCGGCUUGGUGGGCCGUUGCCCCACCAACUACCUAAUGCGCCGCAUGCCCAUCCAUGACCGGGGUCGCCCCCUUUGACCGGCAGGGGAUGUCCCCUCCCGGCAUUAUGUUGUAUUAGGCGGGAUUUCUCCCGGUUAUCCAUCUGUCACGGCCAGGUUGCAUACGUGUUACUCACCUGCGCGCCGGUCGCCGG
rnacentral:rRNA from 1 species